rnacentral:rRNA from 1 species
GAUGAACGCUCGCGAUAGGCUUAACACAUGCAAGUCGAGGGGCAGCACGGUAUUAGCUUGCUAAGGCUGAUGGCGACCGGCGCACGGGUGCGUAACGCGUAUGCAACUUGCCUCACAGAGGGGGAUAACACGUCGAAAGUCGGACUAAUACCGCGUACACUCUAUGUUGGGACUCCAAUGUAGAGGAAAUGAACUUGGCUGUGAGAUAGGCAUGCGUCCCAUUAGCUAGUUGGUGAGGUAACGGCUCACCAAGGCGACGAUGGGGAGGGGAACUGAGAGGAUGAACCCCCACACUGGUACUGAGACACGGACCAGACGGCUACGGGAGGCAGCAGUAAGGAAUAUAGAACGAGGGGCGAGAGCCUGAACCAGCCAAGUCGCGUGAAGGAUGACUGUCUUAUGGAUGGUAAACUUCUUUUAUACGGGAAUAACAAGAGUCACAGGUGGCUCCCUGAAGGUACCGGAUGAAUAAGCACCGGCUAACUCCGUG